rnacentral:lncRNA from 1 species
UGCUCAAAAUUCGAGAAAUGAAUUUAAGUUGGUCGCGUAACGACCACCUGUAUCAUUAAUAAAUACUUGUAUUUUUAGUCACACGUAACCAUUUUAUAAAAGAUUUGUUUGGUUAUUACAGACGAAAAAAAAGAGAAAAGGUCUAUAUAUGAUUUUGUUUUCUUUAGUAUUAGUUCAAUCCUUAUCUUAAACUUUAGGGAUCAGAUGAAUCCUGGUUUUGAAAUUUCUACUCUGAUAUUGAAACCUAGAUAUUUUUGUAGAUGGGUUUCCCAAUUACACAAGUUUUGUUGUUGUGUUGAUGUUUACCAUUUCAAAAUAAUUUAUUAUGCCCUUGAUAUUUAUAAGUUUGAUUUCCAGUUUUUCUACAUCUAUUUCCCGACUGAAAACAUUAAAAUACGCUAUUCUCUUUCUGGUCUUGUAGUUUCUAUACGUAUCAAACUAUCAGGGUUGGGGACAAAAAAAUAUAUUUUAUUUUUAUUAUUUGAAUCAGUUGUGCUGAUAACGAAAUAAAAGCGUAACAUACUACAGAGAUCCAAAUAAGUGACAACUACUUGCUACCACGUGGCUCUUCUAUCCAUCUAGGUCGAGAAGCUUGCCACGUAUGAAUAUGGGUAAAGCACCGUCCAAUCUAUAAGAGCUUUUUGAGCAAUUAACCAUCGACCAACCUCUUUCUAAGUUAUGCAAAUAAAUACAAGGAAUACAAAUUUAAAGCAACAACAAAUUUGAAAUGUUAUCGUCUUAUCGAACCUUCCAAAACAGUUUACUUCGAGGGGUUGAAAAUUUAGCUAUAUGUACGUUUUUUGUUGUUAAAACACAAUUCGUCGAGUUUUUUUUUUUUUUUUUUUGAAAUAGCUUUUUUUUUACUAUCAGGUUAUAAUCAGUCAUUAACCAAACGAGUUUCACGAAACCAAAGAAAGAUAUUGAACGCUAGCUGAGAAGUGAUUAUUUAGUGGUUACGGCCUUACCGGUUAGUAUCUUAUUCGUAUAACAUAUGCAGUUAUUUUCAUUUGUGAUUUGCCAAAAAUCGGGAAUUGAGAUGCAAGUAGACGAUGUUUUUUUGGUGUUAUAGAAAAUGGUUUUGUCCAUGUAUGAUAUAUGGAUACUUAAAUGCCACUAUAACACUUGAUUAAACCAGCCUUGAUUCUUGAUACCAAGUUGAAAUGAUAUCAAAACACGACGACAAGUGUACUGAUGUGUGAUACUGGUGUGUCGUUUCUCGUAAGGGUUGACUUAGAGGAGGAGUAAAUGGAGUGAGAGAGAAAGGGUUCAUGAACUAAUAAAUGUGUAGAUAAGCUCUAAAUAACAAUUUGACAGUUAUCCGUUUUGUGACUGAAUCUUGCGUUUUAUAUAAAAGAAGUAGCUUUUGAUAAAAAAACAAAAUAUAAAAGAAGUAGAUUUGAUAUAAAUAUAUAUGCUACUCUGAAUAUUUAGCUGGUUUCAAUUUUAAAUACGUUAUUAAAUCUAAAUACUGAAUACUUUCUAAUU